AGUGAACGCUGGCGGUAGGCCUAACACAUGCAAGUCGAACGGCAGCACAGGAGAGCUUGCUCUCUGGGUGGCGAGUGGCGGACGGGUGAGGAAUACAUCGGAAUCUACUCUGUCGUGGGGGAUAACGUAGGGAAACUUACGCUAAUACCGCAUACGACCUACGGGUGAAAGCAGGGGACCUUCGGGCCUUGCGCGAUGGAAUGAGCCGAUGUUGGAUUAGGUAGUUGGCGGGGUAAAGGCCCACCAAGGCGACGAUCCGUAGCUGGUCUGAGAGGAUGAUCAGCCACACUGGAACUGAGACACGGUCCAGACUCCUACGGGAGGCAGCAGUGGGGAAUAUUGGACAAUGGGCGCAAGCCUGAUCCAGCCAUACCGCGUGGGUGAAGAAGGCCUUCGGGUUGUAAAGCCCUUUUGUUGGGAAAGAAAUCCAGCUGGCUAAUACCCGGUUGGGAUGACGGUACCCAAAGAAUAAGCACCGGCUAACUUCGUGCCAGCCGCCGCCGUAA
rnacentral:rRNA from 1 species